AAUAAAAUUCAGAAAUCAAAAGGGAAAAAGUCCUGUGAUUCCGGACAGGGAAUUCAAUCCAGGGAAGAAGAAAAGAGAAGUCCCAGGAAGAAACCUAUGCAUCAGAUUUAGAAAGUAACUAGUUUGAAAGCAGCAGGUUAGCAUGCUCAAGGGAAAAAACCAAACUGGGAUUAUAAAAAAUAUAAAAGUGUCAAUUGAAAAUUGUAGAAAAAAAAACAAGAUAGGAAAUGUAAUCAGAGUCUAUGAUCUUAUUCUUCAGUGAACAACUUUCAUAGUCAAUAAUUAAAAACUAUAUUGACUUCCUACUUUUAGAAUCUAUCUAUCUAUCUAUCUAUCUAUCUAUCUAUCUAUCUAUCUAUCUAAAGGAAAGUAAGCAAAAAUGUUGAACCCAUUCCAGCUUAAUAAAAAAAAAAAAAGCCCACA
rnacentral:lncRNA from 10 species